rnacentral:rRNA from 1 species
CCUACGGGUGGCAGCAGUGAGGAAUAUUGGUCAAUGGCCGGAAGGCUGAACCAGCCAUGCCGCGUGAAGGUCAGUGCCCUAUGGGCGUUAAACUUCUUUUGUGCGGGAGCAAUAAUGGUCACGUGUGGCCAGACGAGAGUACCGUACGAAUAAGAAUCGGCUAACUCCGUGCCAGCAGCCGCGGUAAUACGGGGGAUGCAAGCGUUAUCCGGAUUUAUUGGGUUUAAAGGGUGCGUAGGCUGUGAGGUAAGUCAGCGGUGAAAUGCCCCCGCUCAACGGGGUGAAGUGCCAUUGAUACUGCCUGGCUGGAAUGCGGAUGCCGUGGGAGGAAUGUGUGGUGUAGCGGUGAAAUGCAUAGAUAUCACACAGAACACCGAUUGCGAAGGCAUCUCACGAAUCCGCGAUUGACGCUGAUGCACGAAAGCGUGGGUAUCAAACAGGAUUAGAUACCCUAGUAGUC